AGCAGCUCCGCAGGCCCGGCCGGCCCCACACCCGCCGGCUCCGGGCCGACCCCCGACCCUAAAUGGCUCGUCUGAGGAGGGGGAGAGAUACAGAAGGAUGGUCCAAAUCAAUCUUCCCCAGCUUUCCUAAGAAGAUCAGAGAAGAGAAGAUUGCUUCAUUAGUGGCUGCUUGUAGAGACUAGAAGACCACACUCUGCAGUGGAUCUGUCAAAAGGAGGUGCUGACACCUCAGAUUGCGGAAGGAAAAAUCAGCAUGGAUGCACUUGAACUUCCUGGUCACGUUAUGCAGCUACAUUAUCUCUUCUGCUGGCUCCUAAGCAGAACUGUGCCUAAGUCAUGCCACACAGAGGGAUUUCCAUCUUAACUUCCAAAGUCCUGUGGAAAAGGGGAUUCGCUGCUUUCCUUGAAAAUCUAUUCGUUCUUCAAGAAUUUAUUUGAUUGACAUUCUAAAUAA